rnacentral:lncRNA from 10 species
AGGGCUCUCACCUGUUCCCAGUUCCCAUAGGCUCUGCAUAGUUCUAUGGGAAAACAGAGGUCCCGGCCACACUUCCUCUGCUCCAGUCGGCAUCCUUGCAGCGGCCACUCCAGAUGGGCCAUUGCUGCCAUCAAUAGGUGACAGGGAAGAUGGAGAGAAUGGACUGGCCUCAGUAGGACUUAGUUGGCUGUGGGUACAGGGGUAGAGUCAGAGGUUACCCUGAGGUCACGGGCCCAAGCAGCUGGAUGGAUAUGAAGCUGGAAAGGGUAGGGGAUAGGAGGGAAGUGUUCACUGGGUGGCAUCAAAUCCAGGUCCAAGUCCUAGAGAGAGGUCAGGCUGGAACUUCAGUUCCUGGGGUUGCUGACUCCCACAGAGGGUGUAAUGGAAGCCAGGAGGGUCUGAUGGAUUGUGGAAUUCAGAAUAGUCAAGUGGCCUUCAGCCCCUCAAGAACCAGGUGACUUGGCCAGCAUGGUGGCUCACGCCUGUAAUCCCAGCACUUUGGGAGGCCAAGGUGGGUGGAUCACCUGAGGUCAGGAGUUCGAGACCAACCUGACCAAUAUGGUGAAACCCCCAUCUCCACUAAAAUUACAAAAAUUAGCCGGGCGUGGUGGUGUGCACCUGUAUUCUCAACUCAAGGAAUCCUCCUGCCUUGGCCUCCCAAAGUCCUGAGUCUGCAUCCUCGGAUUCUCUUGGCUCUGCUGCUUACCAUCUGGGCACCACGCUAGGUGACUUACUGCACCUCCUGGGGCCUUGGUUUCCUCAUCUGUAAAGAGGAACCUGCCUUGAAAGUUUGUAAAGCACCUUUAUUCAGUAAAUCUUUAUUGAGUACCUACUGUGUGCCAGGCACUACUCUAGGAGUUCGGGAUACAGCAGUGAAGAACACAGACGGACAACCCUGCCCUCACGGAGCUUAUAUUCAGAGGGAAGAAAGCCACUUAGCAGGACAAAGAGCUAAAAUGGAUAGUACAGUGUGUUGAGAGGUAACACACAUGACAGAAAAGAUAAGGUAUGGGGCCAGGCACGGUGGCUCACACCUGUAAUGCCAGCACUUUGGGAGGCCGAGGUGGGCGGAUCACCUGAGGUCAGGAGUUUGAGACCAGGCUGGCCAACAUGGUGAAACCCCGUCUCUACUAAAAAUAAAAAUAAAUUAAAAAAAAAACAGCCAGGCGUGGUGGUGGGCGCCUGUAAUCCCAGCUACUCGGGAGGCUGAGGCAGGAGAAUUGCUUGAACCCAGG